AACGUGUAUGUAACCGACCACACCUUUGUCCCACUUUAUUACUGAUGUUUUUACUGCCAAGGAGCCCUAGCUCUUGGGCAAUCCUUGAGCAAUCACAGACAACUAGGACUGGUGAUUCUGCUCACAUCUCAAGUUUCUGGUCUCAGGACUGUCCUCUGGAGAGUAUUUAAAGUAACUAAGAAGCAUUUGAUAGAUAGCGCAGACUAUGUUAGCCUGGUCCUUCCCAAAAGUCCCAAGCUCAGGGUUACCCUCACCAAGCUUCACUUUGGGUCCUCAUUCACAUAGAAAAAUGUCCACAUGAAUGUGGGCCCUCUAGUGCUAGCCAACACUGACAAGCUGUUUGACAGGAAACAAUUUUCUAUAGCCCCAGAUUCCAGAUGGCCAGAUUAUCUCUAUAGUGGUCUCUCUGCCAAUUUUCCCUUGAAAUGCAUACUCUCCUGUUGCAACAGACAACAGACUAUGGUAGUUUUGUUAGGGCUAAUCAGUUUAUGGAACAGUUUCUACAGUAACUGGUCAACUACAGAUAUUAACAAACAGUUGUCAUUCAUCUAACUUGGGUAGUAACACAGCCUACAACUAUAAUCCUACCUUCAAAUGAUUUGACUCAAAUGCUGAAGUUGUCCAUGGGGCAGGGGGCCAAAACCUUGAAUCUACACAUACAACCCUCAGACCGGAGUGAUUUUUGAAGAUGGUUUGGCCUCAGAAGUUUUGCAUCAGGUUUCCUUUCUUAAUACCUGGUGGAAAAUCUACAAUAACUAUAUAUUGGCUUUUACUGAAAAUCUCC
rnacentral:lncRNA from 1 species